rnacentral:rRNA from 1 species
UUUAGACUUAAGAGCUAUUCAAAUAAGGCACAGCUUAUUUGAAAUAGGACACAACCUACAACAUAGGGUAAACGAGAGUGACCUAAAUAAAGUGGGCCUAAAAGCAGCCACCUUUAGAAAAGCGUUAAAGCUUAACUACCUUCACUCAUAAUGCCUAAAAUCUCCACUAACCCUUCAUUACUACUGAACAAUUUUAUACUCAUAUAAAAGCUAUCAUGCUAGAACUAGUAACAAGAAACUGCUUUUCUCCUAAAUGUAAACAUAAACCAAAAUAGACUCUCUAUUGGUUAUUAACGUAGAUGCUAAACUGUAGCAACACUCACUAGAAAAUCCUAUAAACCCCAACGUUAACCUUACACCAGAACAUUACAGGAAAGAUUAAAAGAAAAAGAAGGAACUCGGCAAAUUUUAGCCUCGCCUGUUUACCAAAAACAUCGCCUCUUGACAAAACAUAAGAGGUCCAGCCUGCCCAGUGACAAAGUUCAACGGCCGCGGUACCCUAACCGUGCAAAGGUAGCACAAUCACUUGUUCUUUAAAUGAGGACUCGUAUCAACGGCACUACGAGGGCUAUACUGUCUCCUUUUUCUAAUCAGUGAAACUGAUCUCCCCGUGAAGAAGCGGGGAUUAUAAUAUAAGACGAGAAGACCCCAUGGAGCUUUAAACUCACCAUGCACCUCUGUGCUCCCAUACCCCUAAACACAACAGACCUGCAUGUUAGUUUUAGGUUGGGGUGACCACGGAGUACAACUUAACCUCCAUAGCAAACGGGCUAAUACCCUUAUCCACGAGACACAACUCUAAGAAUUACUAAACUAAUGCUUACGACCCGAUAUUCGAUCCAUGAACCAAGUUACCCUGGGGAUAACAGCGCAAUCUACUUCAAGAGCCCAUAUCGACAAGUAGGUUUACGACCUCGAUGUUGGAUCAGGGUAUCCCGGUGGUGCGAGCCG